GCCCCCUACAUGCUGGAAUUGCCCUUCUCUGUCUUUAGGGUCUCCAGCAAGACUGACUUUAACAACAAAAAGGGUUAGCUUGAAGACAGCUGAUUCUUUCAGAAUGAGACAUACUGCCCCACAUCCUUCACUGUUGCUAAUUUCAUUUGCACAGUAAUUGCAAAGGCUGACAGUGUACCAAUUGAUAGCAAAACAUCCUAGAUAAAUAGUAGUAGUUUGCUGUGUUCCAGCUAAAAGUGGGAUUCUCUCUGGUGCAAAGCAACUAAGUCCAUCCUGAGGUGUCAUCCAUGGAACAAACUACCAUGGGAUGCUGAAUCAAAUUUCAUUGCAAAGGCCAAGAAGAAUUUGAAAGGAAAGAACUUUUUCCUGUUUUUUAAUGAGCUACUUGCUAAUUUUUGCACUGUGCAGAGUCCAAACAUCUCCGUGAACACCAACCCCAAACAAAAAUGUGCUACAGAAACUUUCUUCUGUUCUCCAGUUUUAAAGCAAGUCCCAAGUGAGUUUGCAUCCAUUUCAAUGUUAUCCAUUGAUUUAAAGAAACAGAUGAGAAAGAGGCAGAAGAAUCCACUAAACAGCGUGAAAAAUGUUUAUUUCCCAGAGGAAAGGAAGAAAAAAAGUCACUGUUAAUAAAAUGAUUAGCUCAAACACCUUGAAA